rnacentral:rRNA from 1 species
GUGGGGAAUAUUGGACAAUGGGCGAAAGCCUGAUCCAGCAAUGCCGCGUGUGUGAAGAAGGCCUGCGGGUUGUAAAGCACUUUAAGCGGGGAAGAAAGGCGGGAGGCUAAUACCCUCUUGCACUGACGUUACCUGCAGAAUAAGCACCGGCUAACUCCGUGCCAGCAGCCGCGGUAAUACGGAGGGUGCGAGCGUUAAUCGGAAUUACUGGGCGUAAAGCGCGCGUAGGCGGUUUGUUAAGUCAGCUGUGAAAGCCCUGGGCUCAACCUGGGAAUGGCAGUUGAUACUGGCGAGCUUGAGUGUGGUAGAGGGGUGUGGAAUUUCCGGUGUAGCAGUGAAAUGCGUAGAGAUCGGAAGGAACACCAGUGGCGAAGGCGGCACCCUGGACCAACACUGACGCUGAGGUGCGAAAGCGUGGGGAGCAAACAGGAUUAGAUACCCGGGUAGUCC